CGGAAGUUUUCGGAUGGAAGCUUGUAAACUUAGUGGCGGACGGGUGAGUAACACGUGAGCAACCUGCCUAUCAGAGGGGGAUAACGAUUGGAAACGAUCGCUAAUACCGCAUGACAUAACGAAACCGCAUGGUUUUGCUAUCAAAGAUUUUAUCGCUGAUAGAUGGGCUCGCGUCCGAUUAGAUAGUUGGUGGGGUAACGGCCUACCAAGUCGACGAUCGGUAGCCGACCUGAGAGGGUGAUCGGCCACAUUGGGACUGAGACACGGCCCAAACUCC
rnacentral:rRNA from 1 species